GACGAACGCUGGCGGCGUGCUUAACACAUGCAAGUCGAACGGAAAGGCCCGGCUUUUGUUGGUUGCUCGUGUGGCGAACGGGUGAGUAACACGUGAGUAACCUGCCCUUGACUUUGUGAUAACUUCAGGAAACUGGGGCUCAUACCGCAUAUGAGCUCCUGCUGCAUGUUGGGGGUUGGAAAGUUUCGGCGGUUGGGGCUGGACUCGCGGCUUAUCAGCUGGUUGGUGGGGUAGUGGCUUACCAAGGCUUUGACGGGUAGCCGGCCUGAGAGGGUGACCGGCGACAUUGCGACUGAGGUACGGCCCAGACGCGUACGGGAGGCAGCAGGGGGGAAUAUUGCAGAAUGAGGGGACGCCUGUUGCAGCAGCGCCGCGUGCGGGAUGACGGCUUUCGGGUUGUAAACCGAUUUGGCCUGAGACGAAGAGUGAGUGACGGUAAUGGGUAAAGAAGCACCGGCUAACUACGUG
rnacentral:rRNA from 1 species